UACGGAGGGUGCAAGCGUUAAUCGGAAUCACUGGGCGUAAAGCGCACGUAGGCGGUUUUGCAAGUCAGACGUGAAAUCCCUUGGCUCAACCGAGGAAUUGCGUUUGAAACUGCAGGACUGGAGUACUGGAGAGGGUGGCGGAAUUCCCGGUGUAGGAGUGAAAUCCGUAGAUAUCGGGAGGAACACCAGUGGCGAAGGCGGCCACCUGGACAGAUACUGACGCUGAGGUGCGAAAGCGUGGGGAGCAAAC
rnacentral:rRNA from 1 species